CCCACAUAACUUUAAAAAAACACACACACACUAAAAGAGCUUUCUUCCACAGCAGAUCGUUUGGUUUCACUGAGCACGAGCCUCAGUAUCAGAUCCAAAGCAAAGGGUCAUCACACCAAAUAUUGGAAAUAAAGUGUCCUGUAUUACUGUUCACUGCUCUUUAUAGCAUUUUUUAGAAAUGGAGAAAACAGUUCAUUUCAUUACUUUUGAAGGUCUCUUUGCUCUACAUCAUUUCUUUGCAUGCGCCUAAGACGUUUGCACAGUACUGUAUAAUAAUCGAGUGUGAAAUCUUCCAUCAGCUGAGGCGUUUGUUUAAGGCUUACGGCAAUAAAAAUAAACCAUUUUAACUCGACUGUAUAUUCCAGAUAUAAAAGCGCAGUAAUCCAUGCAGAUUAUAGGAACUGUAGGCGAGGUUUCCGUUGGUUUGUCGUCUUUGUGCAUAAAUUCACUGGAGCAUGAGUAGGCUAUGAACGUCCCGGCUAUCCCUGAAUUUACGGGAUAAUUUCUUCUGUAAACACAUAUGAAUUGUUCAAGGUUGAUUAAUGAGGCCCGGUGCUAGGCCAACAGGCUUUCCCUAUAAAACCCUGCCCAACUUUAACAUGCAAGCUGCCUUUUGAUUGGCUAUUCAACCCCACUCACCCCUCCCUAGCCCAGCAUGUGUAGACUCCUUUGAUCUUUACCUGUUCACUAUUUCUGCUAAAUGAAAUAAAACGCCGCCUUAUGAUCAUGGGCAAGCAUAAACACAGCACCCAGUCAACCAUUUUAUUACUUCGUGUGGAAAAUAAGAUGGGGAGCACUCGUCUUGAUUAAUGACCCUCCUUCCAUCCUGAUUAGAUCACUCGCCCGCUUGACACACACUUCUCUAAGCUCUUCACACAUAAUACACUGUGCUCUGUCUCUCUUCAAGAACCGCAGUGAGAGUACUAAAUAACGUCCGUGAUGAAGGGUUGGGAGUUAUUUUGAAUGAUUAUUUCUGCUUCUUCCUGCAUUCAUUCAUGUUGCGUAACUGGUCAGGGUCACAGUGGAGCCGGAGCUUAUGAGGUGGGAAUACAUCCCGGAUGUGACGCCAGGUCAUCACAGACCACCAUGCACACACAUUCACACCUAGGCGCAAGUUAGCAGAACCGGUUCACCUUCCAGCCAUGUUUAUUUGGCGGAAAGUGGAGAACCGGGAAAAAAACCCGAGCUCAGGAUCGAACCUGAGACCCUGGAGCGCUGAGAUAGCCAAGCUGACCUUUGCACCACUGUGCUACCCAACAGUACGUCUUGUCUCCCUGUGACUCUUUAGCUGUAGGGGAAACAAAGCUAGCAGACUAAUUCCUGCAUUAAUGAAUCUGAAUCCCAAUCAGUCUGACGGACAGUAUCUAAUCAGGAGUUUAAUCUGAUUUCAUGCGAGAGCAGUUCUGUGUUAAUAAAGCGAUUAUGAAUGUGAGUCUUGGAUAUCUCAAAUGUAAUCAACACUUAAUCGGUUGUCGUAGGGCGUGACGUCAGGUGUCGCAAAGAACAAGCGUAAUUAGAAUGUAAUUAGAAUGUAAACAAGACUAGAUUGGCGUGAUGAACCCAUAAUGCCCGUUUAAGACUGCUCAUUUACAGGCCAGAGACACAGCCGUGCUCGGAAAUGUAGAGGGCCAUUAGAGGAAUAUUUACACAAAUUUCCUCUUACCCCAACUGAUAAAGAUCAGCCUUUAUUUUGCCUAUAUUUUUAAUGCUUUUAUUUUGCAUUCGAGGCUAAUGUGGCUAACAAGUACAUAAUGGAGAUCUAAUGUACGUAUUGGAACAGCAAGGCCACUUCUUUCGUUUUCGCUAUACACUGAAGACAUUUGGGUUUGACGUCCAAAGCUGAAUGAGACGACGGAUCAGAAUUUCAGCUUUCAUUUGCGCAUAUUUACAUCUAGACGUGUGUGAAACAACUUGGAACAUGGCACCUUUUGUUUGAACUCACCCAUCCCCUCCCCCCUGAUCAAUAAUAUUGGAACAUGUGAUUGCUCAGUGUGUCUUGCUGCCCAGGUGUGCCUGUUAAAUUGAUUGUUUAAAGAAUUUAAUAGCUCUGAAUGUCUACUCUUGGUCUGAGCCCUAGGUUUCACCUGAGAAGACUGCAUUUGUUGUUAAAAAGGAUAAACCAACAUGAAGACCAGAGAGCUGUUUAUCGGAGAAAAGCGAGCCAUUUUGAAGCUGAGAAACGAGGGAAGAUCAAUCAGAGCCAAUACGACUUGGAAUGUCCUGAAAAAAGAAAGAAACCACUGGUGUACUAACAACCAGACACAUCUUUUUUCACUCAUCUUUUGAUCUCAAAACAGUAGUAUUGGCCUUGCUUUCCCAGUACUUUCAGAGGGGACCGUAUUCAUGGUGUAUACAUCAUUUCCACCCAGUUUUUAAGGUUUAUCAGUGUAAAUGUGCCGCGCUCACGUUAAUGAAUAGAGACGCUUUGUUUUAAAAUUGUGUAUUAUGUUAGAUAAUUCCUUAUUCUAUUACAAUGGAAAACAUUAGGUUAAUUACGCGCCGUGUGAAAGGUUAGUCCCCCAAUUCAGCCUGAAUGAGCGUUCUCUUUUCAGUCACUAUGGUGUAUAUACAGCACACUGCUCUUCAGUGACUAAACACAAAGGCUUUUCUAUGAGCAAUGAGUCACUCUGGAAUUUACUGAGAAGCAACAUCAACACUGUCAGGCUUAUGCUUUACUGAUCAUGUGGCAGGUCUGCCAUUACACUCCAUAAACAUAAAGCCUGCACAGAUUCAGUUAUAAACGUAAUCCCGUGCUUAUUUUCGCCUUUUACGUUAACAAAAUAUCUGAGUAACCGGCUGUAAAUGUUUCCGGUAUACAGGAUAAUGGUAUUUACGUGGCUAAAUCUUUAAUAUUUGUCACUUUGUAAGUCUGUCGUUACUGACUGUGUGUGUCAGGCCUCCUCUAUCCCUGUCCAUUAAUCAAAGAGACCACCACUGAGCGGAUAUUUGGGUGGUGGACCAUUUUAGCACAGCAGGACUCCGUUAGUGCUUAUUCGAUUUAUGAUUUUAAUAACAGUCACGAACGCAACUUUGGAGUAUCCGGAAUUAGGUUUACGUUUAGAUCUGUAAUGAGUAAGGCAGAGGAGACAGUGGCAGGGAAGAACUCCCUGAGAUGGCACGAGGAAGAAACCUUGAGAGGAACCCAUCCUAGUACUUUACAGUGUAAAGAAGCACUAGAAUGGUCCACCACCAGAAAGGUUGUGUACUGAUUGGUGGUACGCUCCUGUAGAGGACAGGGUCAAGGGGGGUGACAACAGAUGACCUACGGUCUGUAAUCGUUUACCUGUGCAGGCCUCUACAAAGCGUGGACAAAACAAAGGAGUCACCUCUUGAUAAGGACCUUGACUAAAGCACAAAGCUUUCAUGGGUGAGUUCUAAAUACAUGAACUUCUAAAUAUCAUAUUUCAGCUAUAAAAGAGAUCUGACAGUUAACUCCAUUGAACGCCAUGUCUGAUGAGACAACUUUCACCUGAUUUCCUCCAUCUGGCCGGAUACAUGUUUGGAUGAAGCCAACGAAUACCUUCAACCCACACCAUCUGCUGCCAACUGUUCAGUCCAGCAGGGGAUGCAGAAUGGUAUGGAUUGACCUCUCAUGCUUUGGAUAAUCAUGUGACAGGACUAGGUGCGUACUAGGGUUCAUUCCUGAUGAUAAUGCUUCUAUACAUACUUCUAAAAUGAUUCAAGAGUGGCUGUAAGGAAG
ensembl:lncRNA